rnacentral:rRNA from 1 species
AUUGAACGCUGGCGGCAGGCCUAACACAUGCAAGUCGGGCGGUAACAGGAGAGCUUGCUCUUGCUGACGAGCGGCGGACGGGUGAGUAAAGUCUAGGAAUCUGCCCAUUAGAGGGGGAUAACGCGGGGAAACUCGCGCUAAUACCGCAUACGCCCUACGGGGAAAGGUGCUUAAUUGUACCGCUAAUGGAUGAGCCUAGAUCGGAUUAGCUAGUUGGUAGGGUAAAGGCCUACCAAGGCGACGAUCCGUAGCUGGUCUGAGAGGAUGAUCAGCCACACUGGGACUGAGACACGGCCCAGACUCCUACGGGAGGCAGCAGUGGGGAAUAUUGGACAAUGGGGGCGAACCCUGAUCCAGCCAUGCCGCGUGUGUGAAGAAGGUCUUCGGAUUGUAAAGCACUUUAAGUUGUGAGGAAGGGUAGAGUAAUGACCUACUUUUGACGUUAGCAACAGAAUAAGCACCGGCUAACUUCGUGCCAGCAGCCGCCGUAAAACCGAGACUGCC